AUGGUGCCAGCUGAUAAUGGCCGUAGGCAUUUUCAGCUCUAUAUUUAUGAUACAGAUCAUAACUUGGUGCACAGGACUAAGAGGUCCCCAGAUCUAGAUAUAGAUCUCAUACGGAAAAUUCUGGGAAUACUAGAGCAGAACCCUUAUGCAGAGGCUUUCAAGAGCCUUGGGUCUGUUUCGAAUCUAGAUGAGUACAAGAUCUCACUAACGUAG
rnacentral:rRNA from 1 species